UGAGUACGAGCUGCUACGGCAGCGAAGUUGGUGAUGUCAUGCUUCCAAGAAAAGCUCUAUACCCGUUAAGGCAUAACUGCCAGUACCCGAAACCGACACAGGUGGGGUGGUAGAGAAUACCGAGGUGCGCGAGGUAACUCUCUCUAAGGAACUCGGCAAAAUGGCCCCGUAACUUCGGGAGAAGGGGUGCCACAGCAAUGUGGUCGCAGUGAAGAGGCCCUGGCGACUGUUUACCAAAAACACAGGUCUCCGCUAAGUCGCAAGACGAUGUAUGGGGGCUGACGCCUGCCCAGUGCCGGAAGGUUAAGGAAGCCGGUCAGCGUAAGCGAAGCUGGCGACUGAAGCCCCGGUGAACGGCGGCCGUAACUAUAACGGUCCUAAGGUAGCGAAAUUCCUUGUCGGGUAAGUUCCGACCCGCACGAAAGGCGUAACGAUCAGGGCGCUGUCUCGGAGAGAGGCUCGGCGAAAUAGAAUUGUCUGUGAAGAUGCGGACUACAUACACCCGGACAGAAAGACCCUAUGAAGCUUUACUGUAGCUUGGUAUUGUGCCCGGGCUCUGAAUGCGCAGGAUAGGUGGGAGACGUUGAUCUAGUGCUCGUGGGUACUAGGGAGUCAAUGGUGAGAUACCACUCUUUCAGAGCUAGGGUUCUAACGUUCACCCGUUAUCCGGGGAGCGGACAGUAUCAGGUGGGUAGUUUGACUGGGGCGGUCGCCUCCUAAAAGGUAACGGAGGCGCGCAAAGGUUUCCUCAGGCUGGUUGGAAAUCAGCCGACGAGUGCAAAAGCAGAAGGAAGCUUGACUGUGAGACCUACAAGUCGAACAGGGACGAAAGUCGGCUUUAGUGAUCCGACGGUUCUGAGUGGAAGGGCCGUCGCUCAACGGAUAGAAGUUACUCUAAGGAUAACAGGCUGAUCUCCCCCAAGAGUUCACAUCGACGGGGAGGUUUGGCACCUCGAUGUCGGCUCAUCGCAACCUGGGGCUGAAGUCGGUCCCAAGGGUUGGGCUGUUCGCCCAUUAAAGCGGUACGCGAGCUGGGUUCAGAACGUCGUGAGACAGUUCGGUCCAUAUCCGGUGUAUGCGUAGGAAUAUUGAGAGGAUUUCUCCCUAGUACGAGAGGACCGGGAGGAACGCACCUCUGGUGUACCAGUUAUCGUGCCAACGGUAAACGCUGGGUAGCCAUGUGCGGAGUGGAUAACCGCUGAAAGCAUCUAAGUGGGAAGCCCACCUCAAGAUGAGUAUUCCCAUGGGGUAACCCAGUAAGGUCACGGGAAGAACACCCGUUGAUAGGCUCUACGUCGAAGUUCAGUAAUGGAUGCAGCGGAGGAGUACUAAUAGACCGAGGGCUUGACC
rnacentral:rRNA from 1 species